GACGAACGCUGGCGGCGUGCUUAACACAUGCAAGUCGAACGGAAAGGCCCUGCUUUUGUGGGGUGCUCGAGUGGCGAACGGGUGAGUAACACGUGAGUAACCUGCCCUUGACUUUGGGAUAACUUCAGGAAACUGGGGCUAAUACCGGAUAGGAGCUCCUGCUGCAUGGUGGGGGUUGGAAAGUUUCGGCGGUUGGGGAUGGACUCGCGGCUUAUCAGCUUGUUGGUGGGGUAGUGGCUUACCAAGGCUUUGACGGGUAGCCGGCCUGAGAGGGUGACCGGCCAUAUUGGGACUGAGAUACGGCCCGGACUCCUACGGGAGGCAGCAGUGGGGAAUAUUGCACAAUGGGCGGAAGCCUGAUGCAGCAACGCCGCGUGCGGGAUGACGGCCUUCGGGUUGUAAACCGCUUUCGCCUGUGACGAAGCGUGAGUGACGGUAAUGGGUAAAGAAGCACCGGCUAACUACGUG
rnacentral:rRNA from 1 species